rnacentral:rRNA from 1 species
CCUACGGGUGGCAGCAGUGAGGAAUAUUGGUCAAUGGACGCAAGUCUGAACCAGCCAUGCCGCGUGCAGGAAGACGGCUCUAUGAGUUGUAAACUGCUUUUGUACGAGGGUAAACGUAGAUACGCGUAUCUGUUUGAAAGUACCUUACGAAUAAGGAUCGGCUAACUCCGUGCCAGCAGCCGCGGUAAUACGGAGGAUUCAAGCGUUAUUCGGAUUUAUUGGGUUUAAAGGGUGCGUAGGCGGUCAGAUAAGUUAGAGGUGAAAUCCCGAGGCUCAACUUCGGAAUUGCCUCUGAUACUGUUCGGCUAGAGAGUAGUUGCGGUAGGCGGAAUGUAUGGUGUAGCGAUGAAAUGCUGAG